GGGGAACCCUGAAUCCAGCCAUGCCGCGUGUGUGAAGAAGGCCUUUUGGUUGUAAAGCACUUUAAGCGAGGAGGAGGCGCUCUAGGUUAAUACCUUAGAAGCGUGGACGUUACUCGCAGAAUAAGCACCGGCUAACUCUGUGCCAGCAGCCGCGGUAAUACAGAGGGUGCGAGCGUUAAUCGGAUUUACUGGGCGUAAAGCGUACGUAGGCGGCUUUUUAAGUCGGAUGUGAAAUCCCCGAGCUUAACUUGGGAAUUGCAUUCGAUACUGGGAAGCUAGAGUAUGGGAGAGGAUGGUAGAAUUCCAGGUGUAGCGGUGAAAUGCGUAGAGAUCUGGAGGAAUACCGAUGGCGAAGGCAGCCAUCUGGCCUAAUACUGACGCUGAGGUACGAAAGCAUGGGGAGCAAACAGGAUUAGAUACCCUGGUAGUCCAUGCCGUAAACGAUGUCUACUAGCCGUUGGGGCCUUUGAGGCUUUAGUGGCGCAGCUAACGCGAUAAGUAGACCGCCUGGGGAGUACGGUCGCAAGACUAAAACUCAAAUGAAUUGACGGGGGCCCGCACAAGCGGUGGAGCAUGUGGUUUAAUUCGAUGCAACGCGAAGAACCUACCUGGUCUNGACAUAGUAGAAACUUUNCAGAGAUGGAUGGGUGCCUNCNGNAAUCUACAUACANGUGCUGCAUNGGCUGUCGUCAGCUCGUGUCGUGAGAUG
rnacentral:rRNA from 1 species